rnacentral:tRNA from 1 species
GACCUCGUGGCGCAACGGUAGCGCGUCUGACUCCAGAUCAGAAGGGUGCGUGUUCGAAUCACGUUGGGGUCA